AUGGAACCCCUAAGUGAUGUUAGCUCUAGAGGCUUGUUUUUCAAAAGGAUAUUUGGCUCUGAUGGUUGUUGUCCUGAUAUGCUCAAGGAAGUUUCAGAUGAAGUACUGAAGAAGUGUGGAGGCCUGCCAUUGGCAAUUGCCACUAUAUCUAGUUUGUUGGCAAACUGAUCAGCUACCAAGGAGGAGUGGGAGAAGGUUAAAAGGUCGACUGGUUCUACACUGGAAAAUAACCAGAGUCUAUAGGGAAUGAAUAGCAUACUAUCCCUUAGCUAUAAUGAUCUUCCACCUAAUCUCACUUGUCUGUUGUAUUUAAGUGUAUUUCCCAAGGAUUGUGAGAUUGACAACGAGAGAUUAGUGAGGAGAUGGAUAGCAGAAGGCUUUAUCAGGUAAGGGCGUGGACAGAGUCAUCAAGAGGUCGCAAAGAACUAUUUUUACGAUCUUAUCAACGAAAGCACGGUACAACCAGUGGACACUGGGUAUGAUGGUAAGGUUCGUGCCUGCCAAGUUCACGAUAUGAUGCUUGAAAGUAUUAGCUCAAAAGCAAUUGAAGAAAAAAAAUUCACUGUUGUAGGUAGAGGCCAAACAAGUUUGACAAAUCGUCAUGGUUCUAUUCGGUGACUAUCAAUUCAGCACAUUGACUAGAAGUUGGCAUCCUCAUUGGCAAAUGAAGAUAUAAGUCAUGUUUGAUCUUUAACAGUAACAUCAUCAGGUUACAUGGAACAAUUUCCUAGUCUUCCUGAAUUUGAAGCUUUACGUGUAUUGGACUUUGAAGGUUGUGAGGGUUUGGAAGAGUACGACAUGAACAAUAUGGACAAAUCAUACUAGCUAAAGUUUCUAAGCCUCGGCACCAGCAUAUCAAAGCUACCACCAAGUGUCGUGGCACUACAUGAUCUAGAGACCCUAGAUCUUAGGGACACACAUGUAGAGUUGCCGGCUGGAAUUGUCUGUCUCAGUAAACUACAGUAUCUACCCACCCAAAAAUUCUGCAUGGUACGUAAUAGGAUCGACAAUAUGAGAAGCAUAAGGGUGCCCCCAAUGUUUGAUAUUACGAGGAGUUCAUUGGAUGCUUUGGAGGAGCUCGGGAGCCUGGCCAGAUUGAAUGAACUCAAGUUAUUGUUGGAUAGUGAGAACAUGGACAGGAGUUAUCAGGAAAUGCUACUCUCCUCGCUAUGCAAACUUGGUAGCUGCAAACUCCAAUCUUUAUGGGAUGAUUAUGAUGGUUCCGUCAACUUCCUAGAUCCUUGGUCACCCCCACCAUCUUACCUUCAGGUAUUUGAUAUGGAUGGCAAUAUCUGUUUUACGAACAUUCCAAAGUGGAUUUCUUCAUCUCUCACAAGUCUUGCUCGUCUGGAAAUCAUUGUAGCUGAAUUAAGGGAGGAGGAUUUGCACACUCAUGGUGAGCUCUCAUCAUUAGUUGUGCUACAGUUGCGCUUGCUUACAAGCCAAAAAAAGCUUAUUGUUAUUGGAUUCCAAUUCUUGAAGAAGUUUUACCUCACUUCUAUGGAUGGCGCAUACAUAACGUUCACGGAAGGGGCUACACCGAAGCUUGAUAAUCUUGAGAUGUCAUAUAACAUGUCAGUGGCGAGAACCUAUCGCUUCUAUUUAGGCAUCGAGCAUCUCUCAUGCCCGAAAGUUGUAGAACUGCAUGCCCCCACUAUUAGGGAAAACCCUAUACACAGAAUCUUACCAGCAGCGCGCUUUAAAAUAAGGCGCUGCUGCUAA
rnacentral:rRNA from 1 species